UCUGAUUCUUGGGAGUAAUCCUGAUUGAUUUGAUGUAUUUGGUUAAUUAGGGUGACAUUUUUUUGGCUGAUUUGGGUGACGAAUUUGAUACUUAUGUGAAUUGUUUGGAAGUUUCUUGGCUGAUAUGCGUCGUUGUGGUAGUUCUUCAGCUAAUUGCUCUGCUCUGCGGUCGAGGGGGGAGCCGCCAGAGAGAGAACCAAUCAAUGCACAAGGAGUCGAUAGUUUCAGCAUAAUAUUAGGCUUCUCCAUGUGAUGUGAUACUCUUGGGAUGAUGAUGGUUACACGAGGGUGGUCUUUUUUGCAGGGCCAAUGAUGUGUGCAAGGACGGAAAGAGGCAGUCGAUCAACGCUGAAGACGUCUUCAAGGCGCUCGAUGAGAUCGAGUUCCCAGAGUUUGUAGAUCCCCUGAGGACUGCACUGUUAGGAGGUUUGGUAGGUUUGAGCAUCUGACUUGUAAUCUAGGUUGAUGGUGUUUGGCAUUAUUGGUUCAAUCCACGUGGACGUCCUCGCCGUCAUUGCAGCUGCGGGACAAGACGGCAAGGAGUUUGUGCGCCUGCCUUACCUCUGUACAAAAUAAACUGCAGAUACAAAAAAUGAAAAAGCAGAGCACUGUUAUUUCUCCAUACUCUGCAUCCCCAUCUGAGUCACUCUCUCUAGAAGCAGGAAUGAUUAUACUUCAACCGACCAUGCUCAGCCUAGAAUAACACCACAACAUACAGUAGUAGUUAAGCAACAAAACCUAAGCACUUCCCGUCAUUGUUUGCUUUCUCAUGUUUUUGUUUGCUUCAUUGUGUUCCUAUUUACUUGCAUAUAGAAGUGAGCAAAGUCGAAGUGUUUUGGGUGUUACAAAAGAUUGUGAAUAUUUUCCCUUUAUAGCUCUUUUUUUUAUUGACUCAGUUUUUAUGUAAUUUCAAAGCACUUCAGAUGUGUUAGGCUGCAGCAAGAGGCUGGAACAGAUCUUUGUGCUAUGACGAGUGUUUGCUUCAGUCAAUCCAAAAUACCUCUAAAACUACAGUUUCAUUUGUUUGUCCGGUGUACAUGAGAAGCUCCAAUUUUGUCGGCAAUAGCCACUGGAGAAAGUAGUGAUUGGGUUUAUAUGGGAUAGUUAUGUAUGUCCAUUGUGUGAUGGGAAAUACAAUGCAGUAGUUAAUUGUCACAUGGCUUCUCAAUAGUGGCUUCUCAGUAAAAAUGUUAUAUGAUGUAUGAUAGCCAUGAGUAUGAUGAUUUUUUGGAUGGGCGGUAAGCUUCCCAUGUUUGA